AAAAUUUAAUGGUGGUGUACGGUUCGUUCAGCUCGCAACGCGUCGCAACGUCUCGAUUUGUUGGUCAGUGAAAAAUUAUAGAAAAUUCAGAAUAUAACUUAAACCCGAUUUAAUUGUAUUAUGCAAAGAAAUUGUUGUCGCGCGGCGUGAAUUACACAGUGACAAAAUACAAGCAACAAGCAAUACAACUAAAUUUAAUAUAUAAAAAAACAAGCAAAAAACCAAAAAAACAAAAAAAAGCGCGUCGCGUCUAAAAUUGCAAAUUGCAAUACAAGUCUGAAACGUGAAGCCGAAAAGGAAGAGAGCAGUGUACAAACAGUAAUUGGAAAGCAAAAAAAAAGCGGCAAAAACACAAAUCACAAAAGAAAACAACAAAACAUACUUAUACAACAACAACUACAAUUGAGAAAAAAACUGCAAAAUCUAAAUACAAACGCUAAGCAACAGUAUUUUUGCUCAACAUUAAAAUAAUACUAAGUAUACCUAAAUACAUAAUAAUUCGAUGCAAAAUCUAUAGCAGUCAUUAAAUGUUGCAUUUUUAAGCGGAAGAAAAACCAAAAAAGAAGAAAAACAUAAGCAUAAAUCACAAGAGACGAAGAUUUCAAGAACGCAGCGAGCUUAAGCCAACAAAAAAAGAAGAAAAAAAUAUAUUAAAAAACGUAGUACGACUAGUAAAAGACACCACCAAUUUAAUUUGCAAGGAAACUAAAACAAAAUACAAAAAAAAAAAAAACGUAAAUAAAAACUAAUAAAUUAGCCAAAAAUCUAAUAGAUGUCUGUGUGCAUUAUAUUUUGAUCAUAUAUGAACAAUAUAUUGUACUAUAUAGCAUAAAACAAGUAUAUUUACAACAUUAGCUAUAAAACGCAGCUAAAAGACAAACAGUUAAAAGAAAGAAGAAAAAUAUAAACGACCGCCAUUCGGUCAACAAUUUGAAGAUAAUAUCAAUAUAAAAGACAGCAUAAUAUAAAAAGAAAACACAAACAAACAAACAAACAAAAAAUGGAGGACAAUAACACAAGCAGCAGUGCGAGCGGUGCGCCCAUCAAACUUGAGGAUCCAUCGGUGACACUCACAAUAAGGCUGAUUAUGCAAGGAAAGGAAGUUGGUAGUAUUAUUGGUAAAAAGGGUGAAAUUGUCAACAGAUUUCGCGAAGAGUCUGGUGCCAAAAUUAACAUUUCGGAUGGUUCAUGUCCGGAACGCAUUGUAACGGUAUCUGGCACAACAAACGCAAUCUUCUCGGCAUUUACGCUAAUUACAAAGAAAUUCGAAGAGUGGUGCUCGCAGUUCAAUGAUGUUGGCAAAGUUGGUAAAACUCAAAUACCCAUUCGAUUGAUUGUGCCCGCCAGUCAAUGUGGAUCGUUAAUUGGCAAGAGCGGCUCAAAGAUAAAGGAAAUACGCCAAACCACGGGCUGCUCCAUACAGGUGGCCAGCGAAAUGUUGCCAAACUCCACGGAGCGUGCGGUUACUUUGAGCGGCAGCGCUGAGCAGAUAACCCAAUGCAUCUAUCAGAUAUGUCUUGUCAUGUUGGAGUCCCCGCCACGCGGUGCUACCAUACCGUAUCGACCAAAGCCGCAAGUAACUGGCCCAGUUAUCUUGGCCAAUGGACAGGCCUUUACCAUACAGGGCAACUAUGCGGUGCCCACACAAGAGACUUGUCCAGUAUUUCCACUUGCUUUGGCUACCGGUGGUCUACAUGCUGGUAUUUCAGGCUUAGCGGAUCCUUUAUUAAAGGGGGCACAUUUACAAGGAGCGGUACCAGCACACCACCAUCACCUACAGCAAAUGCCCGAUGUUGCCAAGAAUCCAUUGGCCAGUUUGGCUGCCUUGGGCCUGGCCGGCAUGACGCCAGCCAGCACCGGCGGUAUAAAUCACACAGCUCUGGCUGCCUUGGCUGGUUCGCAGCUGCGUACGGCCAAUGCGAAUCGGGCACAGCAACAGCAGCACGAGAUGACAGUUUCAAAUGAUUUGAUUGGCUGCAUCAUUGGCAAGGGCGGUACCAAAAUUGCCGAAAUACGUCAGAUCUCCGGCGCCAUGAUACGCAUCUCGAAUUGCGAGGAGCGCGAGGGCGGCAAUACCGAUCGCACCAUCACCAUAAGCGGCAAUCCAGAUUCGGUGGCAUUGGCCCAAUACUUAAUCAAUAUGAGAAUAUCAAUGGAGACCGCUGGACUGCCCAUACCCGGCUAUCACUAUAUCGCGCCCAGUGCAAUUGUUAAAACGCCCAUACACUAAGUGCAACGCAACUACAACAAAUAACAACAACAACAACAACAACAACAACAAACAAAUAAAUAAUACAAGCAAAAAGCAAAUCGAAUGGAGCCGAGAAACUGUCGCAAUUGACAACUGACAGCUGACAGUGGAAGCGGCAAUUUCAAUAAGCAAUAAGAUAAAAAACAUAAACAUAAAAAACACAGUAAACAAAUCAUAUGACAAGGUCAAAUCACAUGAAGAAGAAGGAGCAUAAAGCAUCAGAUGUCAUACACAGAAACACAGCUCCCACACAAACACACAUCCACACACACACACAUCCACACACACACGCAUCCACGCCCAUACAAACAUACUGAAGGACAAAAUUAAUUCAUUUUAUUGAUUAAACUACAUAUAAAAAAAAAAACUAUUGAAUAAUUAAAUAAUUAAAUUAAAUUAAAUUAAAUUUAAUACAACUUGAUUUUCAAUUUUCGAAAUUAGUUAUAAUUUGUUGAACGCGAAAGAAAACAAAAACUGAUCGUAACCUUUGAAGCCAAAUUUAUAUAUUUGUUAGACAACGCUGUUUUUUUUUAUUAUUAUUAUUUUUUGGUUUUUAGCGAAAACGUUAAAUUAAGUGUCCAAAUUUAAAUUACAAUAAUAAUGCUUAAGCACAUUUGCGGCGAUUAAAAAGACUUUUUCUGCUAAAUGAGAAAAUGAGAAAAAUGGAUUUAAUUUUAUUAAUAUUGCAAUUAUGCUUAAAUUAAAGUAUAAUUUUAUUUUAUUAGCUGUUAAAUUUAUACGCAAAACAACAAAACAUCAAAAAUAAACUGAUUUUCAAUGUUAAACUUACUUAAAUUAAUUUUUUUUAAAGUUUAGUUCUCUAGGCUGGGCACUAAAAAGCAAAAAAAAAAAGAAAGGAAAACAAUUAACUGUGGCUUCUUAAACAAAAAUUAGUUAAUAAUUGUAAGCCACAAAAAUAACAAUGCACACACACACACACACACACACACUAACACACAUGCAAAGGCAUAUUGAAUAUUAAUAACAAUUUAUAUGUGUGUGUUAGUUUAGCCUGUAGCCGAGACAUCAAUCCGUAAGCUAGUUAAAAAGUUUGUUGCAAAUACUUUGUGAGUCGGCAGCUCGACCGCGAGCUCUCCGCCCACAGGCGACAAUAUGUGUCAAAUUUUGAUUAUACAAAUUAAAUUAAUGCAUAAGAAACAUACAUACAAAAAUACAAAAUUAAUAUAAAUAAAUACAAAAAAAUACCCAUACAUAUCCACAUCAAAAAUAAACCAAUUCAAAUUCAAACAAAUUAAUAUAAUCAUCAGCAAAUGAAAUUAUUCAAACUACAAAACAUAUAAUGGCAAACAUAUCCCAAAAAUACACAUAUAUUAUUUAAUUGACAAUUAACAAAAGAAUUCAUUUCUGCAACAAUUCUAUGAGAACAAUUUGUGGGCUAAUGGAAUUUAAAUUCAAAGAUUUCAUUCAUUCAAUUAUUUUGCAAAGUGGGCGAAGACAUGGAAUACUUAGCAAAAGAAGUGCAUGUCUUUCUUAUUUUCCCCUAUCUAUAUACUUGCAUAAUAAUAUUAAUAAUAACAACAACAAAAAACACUUAUGAAGCAAAACUUGAUUACAGGAAAUUGUUAAUAGCAUAAAGAAAAAAAAACAAUUAUAAUAAUGAUAAAUGCAUUAUUGUUAACUGAAACACACUCUCUACUUUUAAUUGACUAAAAACUAACAUAAAAAAUACAAAAAAAAACAAAGCAAAAAAAAUGCGGAUCAAGCAAAAUGUGUAACACAGGCAGCAAAAUAUCAAGCGAAACUAUUUCGUGAUUUUAGAGACAAAUAUUUCGCUGAUGACAAUUUGAAGCAAUCAUUUUUGAAAAAACAACAAAUAAUUAAACAAAGAAUGAACGUUAAAUGGAAGCAAAACCGUAUAUCUAUAUAUAAAUAAAUUAUAUAUCUAUAUAUAAAUAUACAUACAUAUAUAUUAAAUUAAUUAUUAUGUACACUUGUAUUUAAUUGUAUUUGAAAUAUUUAGUAAAUUUUUUGCGCAAGUUACAAACCAACUAAAUAAAACAAAAAGAAAAUCCAAAAAAAAAAACAAAAAAAAAAUCAAAACCAAAAACUUAAAUAAUAUAAUAAAAGGUCGCACGUUGACGGGUUAACUGCGGAUAGUAGCUGGGACUAAUUGUAUCAUAACAGUAAACAAAAGGGAUAAAUUAAUUAUGUGCAUGUGUGUGUAUAAGCAACUACAUUUAAAAUAGCUCAAAUACAGCAACAACAACAACAACAACAACAAUUUCAAAUGAAUUUUUACUAAUUAAUGUGUAUGUGUAUGUAAAUUAUUAAAUACAAUUUGUUGAAAACUUGUAAAUUUGCAAAGGAAAAAUACGUGUAAGAAAAGCAAUUUUAAUGGUGCCUUAAAAACCAAACCAAGCAAAUUUCUUCUUGCCCCAGAUACUCGUCAAAAAAAAAAAAUGAAUACCAAUAGCACUUGGCAUUGUGUAUAUAAUACUGGCAUGUGAGUUUUCUACCUUUCCGCAGCGUUUCUCUCAACAUUUCCUCUCAACUUUCCCUGCUUCAGCAUUGCGUGUUAAGAGGCUGGCAAUGUGAUUAAUGUAGCGUAUUUAGUUAAAUACAUAUAUAUAUAUUUACGAAUGUAUGUGAAGGGAGGAUGCAUAAGCCUUUUUCGACAUAAAGAACUUAUCCCUUUUAGAGACAUAUGACCCAAAAUUGCUCAAAGCUAUUCGAGUUUCAACAACAUCCAGUGUGUAGAGUUGCCCGUUAUAGUACUUGAAAAACAUAUAAUACAAAAGACAAAAGAAAAAAACUAAAGAAAAACAAAAAAACGUAUGAUGUAUUUACAUGGUAAAUUUAUGUAAUAAACUUAGCUGCAAGUAGUAUUCGAACAAAAUAAAAUUUAAAACACCGAAAACCCGACACAUUAUCCGGAAAUAUAAGCAAUUAGUCAGCAAAAUAACAAUAUAUACAUAUAUAAUAUACAAACACUCAGAUAAAAAAACACAAACAACACACCACAUAUAAAUGUUUCUCUCAGUGUAAUUACAAAUCACUUGAAUGUAUUUGCUCACAGUUUUACAAUACAUGUCAACAACAAAAAAAUAUAUAAAAAAUUCUACACAAUAUGUGGAUAAACAAAAGCAUUUAAGGCACUUGACAUAUGGAAUGCUGGAUAGAUGAACGGAUAUAAAAUAAUUGUUAAAAUGCAAAUAUAGGAAAAGAUAAAAAUGAAAGCAAAAGCAAACAUAUUUAUAUACAUAUACAUAAAUGAAGGAGGUAUAACAAAAUGAAAGCAGAACAGAAGCUUAUAAUUAAGGUAUUUUAGAUAUUCUUAUUUAAUAUCCAAAGAGAGAAAAGUGAACAAAUUAUACGAGAUGAAUUUUUAAUUUAGACAACAUAUGAAAGGGAAACGUGUUGGAAACCACAGCGGUAAAUUCGGGUUGAAGUGAAAAAAUUAAGAAAAUAUGCAAAUUUAUUAACUAAAUAUUGGUGUUAGAAAUUGUUAAGAAAAACCUUUAACUGAAAACUCAUGUCAUUCGCCAUAGAGCAGGCAAUACGGAAACAUACUCAAUUACACUAGCUGAAACUGGCACCUAAGCACACAUACAUUAUUCGCAAAUGUAGAGCACAUAUAUUCUAGAAAAUAUAUCGAUUAAAGGCGAGAGAUAAGAAUAGUGAUAAAUUGUAGCCAACUCAGCUUAGGUGCGCCUUUUAAUCAUUUAACAAAAUAUAGUUUUAAUUCGAAUCUAAUUUACGACUUGCUUUUAGGUUUAUUUUUUCAGGUUAUUGUUGAAAAAUAUAACCUGGGCAAUAGAUAUAUUCAAUAAUUCUUUGAUUGAUUCUUGAUAGAUUCUCUACAAAUAUCAUACUUAAUAUUACUAAGGUCUUUCGUUGGGCUUUGAGUGACAGGAUUAAUCCUUUGUCUGAUUGACUCUUUAUAGAUUUCCAAGUUAAAUCUUCUCUGUUCUACAAAACUCAUAGUUAAUACAGUUUGGGUCUCUCGAAGAGAUAGGCCUCUCAAAAGAAUCUCUCUUAAUAUUCUCUGCUCUACAAAAACCUUACAUAAUCUUGUUAAGGUCUCUCGCUGGCUUUCGAUUAACAGGAUUAAUCCUAUGUUUGAGUGCAAUUUUCAGCUAGUCUCAUUGGGCCUUGUGCUUAGCCUACGAACAUGGCUAGAUGAUAGGGAUAACAUAGUAUGGGAAAUGUUUUGAGUUCUUCGGGCAUAGAACAAUUGAUUUGUCUAUCCUGCAUAUGGUGAAUUGAGCAUUUUCUCGAUUUCCAUAUCGUUCAGUGAUUUUCAAAGCUUUGGCGCAGACAGUGCAAGCAGAUAAUAAUAAUAAUAAUAAUAAUAAUAUAAAAGAAAAACAUUUAUUCGUAUAACAUUUUGUUGCAGCAUUAUAAUGAAUGGUUCAAUGCCAAGAAGAAUAAGUAUCUACGUGUAUUCCAAUUCAUCAAAGCAAUUGAAAAAGGAAAAUAGAAGGCAUAUUGCAUAUUGCCAGUAAAUACAUAUACGAAACAGCUAAGGUUUCUCUGAAAUUAAAAUAAAAUAUUAAAUAAAAUCCAAAGAAAAAAAAAAACAAAAAAAUACAACAUAUAACCAGUAAAUUAUAUAGAGCAAA